AGAUUUGGACAUUUUCCACCUGACACAGAAGGCUGUGCUUGGUUCAACUGGUGUCUCAUUAUAUGGCAGAUGGCUUUGUCACCAUCUAAAAGUGACGUUAUUAAUACUGAAGCAGAGCCUGAUCACAUGAGGAGAUAAGAAUGGAUCAUUUGUCUCAAUAAUAGGGACAAGGAUCGCGAAGAACAUGAAACCAGCGGAGGUGAAGAAGAUUAUGACCCACCCAAUUCUCUUAAAACACUUGAGUAUCCACCCGUAGCAACUGGUUGUGAUUAUGGAUCUGUGCAAAUAUAUGCUAAUUCAGGGGUGUGCUAUUUGCAUACUCUGAUCUAAAGUUCUUAAUUGCCUUUUUGAUAUAAAUCUAUGUAUCAGCGCCGCCUAGUUCUUAAUUCUUUUUCCUUUCUCUUGGAAUUAUCUAAAGUUCUCAAGGUUCCAUUUCAUUUUGAUCUGCAA